GAUGAACGCUGGCGGUGUGCCUAAUACAUGCAAGUCGAGCGGACAGACGAUGAGCUCUUGCCUCUGCGGUUAGCGGCGGACGGGCGAGUAACACGUGGAUAGCCAACCUCUUUUACUGGGAUAAUUACGGGGAACCGCUGCCACUACUGGCGAAUAUAACGUACGGCAUAGUUCAAUAGUGCAUGGCGCCUUUGGCGUUUGUUAUAGCCGAUGCCGGAUUAGCUAGUUGGCGAGGUAACGGCACACCAAGGCAACGAUGCGUAGCUGGUCUGAGAGGAUGAUCAGCCACACUGGAACUGAGACACGGUCCAGACUCCUACGGGAGGCAGCAGUGGGGAAUCUUCCACAAUGGGCGAAAGCCUGACCCAGCAACGCCGCGUGAGUGAUGAAGGUCUUCGGGUCGUAAAGCUCUGUUGUUAGGAAAGAAAAGAUGCGUAAGUAAAUAUGCACGUCUUGACGGUACCCAAACAGAAAGCACCGGCUAACUACGUG
rnacentral:rRNA from 1 species